rnacentral:rRNA from 1 species
CUCAACUCCGGAUCUGCGGUGGGUACGGGCAGACUAGAGUGAUGUAGGGGAGACUGGAAUUCCUGGUGUAGCGGUGAAAUGCGCAGAUAUCAGGAGGAACACCGAUGGCGAAGGCAGGUCUCUGGGCAUUAACUGACGCUGAGGAGCGAAAGCAUGGGGAGCGAACAGGAUUAGAUACCCUGGUAGUCCAUGCCGUAAACGUUGGGCACUAGGUGUGGGGGACAUUCCACGUUUUCCGCGCCGUAGCUAACGCAUUAAGUGCCCCGCCUGGGGAGUACGGCCGCAAGGCUAAAACUCAAAGGAAUUGACGGGGGCCCGCACAAGCGGCGGAGCAUGCGGAUUAAUUCGAUGCAACGCGAAGAACCUUACCAAGGCUUGACAUGGACCGGAUCGCCGCAGAAAUGUGGUUUCCCCUUUGGGGCCGGUUCACAGGUGGUGCAUGGUUGUCGUCAGCUCGUGUCGUGAGAUGUUGGGUUAAGUCCCGCAACGAGCGCAACCCUCGUUCUAUGUUGCCAGCGCGUUAUGGCGGGGACUCAUAGGAGACUGCCGGGGUCAACUCGGAGGAAGGUGGGGACGACGUCAAAUCAUCAUGCCCCUUAUGUCUUGGGCUUCACGCAUGCUACAAUGGCCGGUACAAAGGGUUGCGAUACUGUGAGGUGGAGCUAAUCCCAAAAAGCCGGUCUCAGUUCGGAUUGGGGUCUGCAACUCGACCCCAUGAAGUCGGAGUCGCUAGUAAUCGCAGAUCAGCAACGCUGCGGUGAAUACGUUCCCGGGCCUUGUACACACCGCCCGUCAAGUCACGAAAGUUGGUAACACCC